GAUACNAAACGACAGCGCGANUUNGUCCUUAAGGGCUUAACGNUUGGUUUAUANAGUCUCAACANUCGGCCGUCGUUAUUGACAGCUUCACAUGCAGUCGACGGGGAGGCUUCGGUACUGACCUACGGCGGACGGGUGAUAUGCUUAGAAUCUGCCAUAAGUGGAGAGGACAACAUUCCGAAAAGGAAUAGCUAAUACCAGCAUACGUCCUACGGAGAGAAAAGCAGGGAGAUCUUCGGACCUUGCGCUAAAUGAUGAGCCUAAGUCGGAUUAGCUAGUUGGUGGCGGUAAAGGCCUACCAAGGCGACGAUCUGUAGCGGGUCUGANGAGGAUGAUCCGCCACACUGGGACUGAGACACGGCCCAGACUCCUACGGGAGGCAGCAGUGGGGAACUACUUGGGACAAUGGGCGGAAGCCUGAUUCCAGGCUCAUGUCCGCGUUGGUGUGAACAGAAGGCCUUUAUGGUGUAAANGCACUUUUAAGGCUGAAGGA
rnacentral:rRNA from 1 species